UUUGAUUUGUAUAAGAAAGUGGGAGAUCUAUUUAAACAACAACGAAGUGCAGAAUCCACCAAAGAUUUUGAUACCGAGUCGAAGUUAGCAAGUGUUGAAAUUGUUGAAAAUGCUGGGAUUGAACAACUGCCAAGUGCAAAAAUCACUGAAGAUUUUGAACUACCAGUUGAUCAAGGGGAUCCUUCUCAAAAAGUAGAAGAUUUAGCAAUACUACCAACAAAAUCAGGAGAGUUGCAGAAUGAACAAUCACUUGGAGAAACUGAUACUACAGUCCAAUCUUCUCAAUUGGAGGGAUCAACAUCAGAAAAAACAGCAGUUGCAACUGUGUCUUCCAUUGUAAG